rnacentral:rRNA from 1 species
GACGAACCGAGCGAACGUUGUUCGGAAUCACUGGGCUUAAAGGGCGCGUAGGCGGGUGCUCAAGUCUGUGGUGAAAUCCUCCGGCUCAACCGGAGAACUGCCAUGGAUACUGGGUGCCUCGAGGGUGGUAGGGGUAUGCGGAACUAUCGGUGGAGCGGUGAGAUGCGUUGAUAUCGAUAGGAACUCCGGUGGCGAAGGCGGCAUACUGGACCACUUCUGACGCUGAGGCGCGAAAGCCAGGGGAGCAAACGGG